UUAACUGAAACCAAAAAGAGGUAUAUUACUGUUAAUAAUAUAAUUGAACUAUAAAUUCCAGUUAAG
rnacentral:tRNA from 1 species